rnacentral:rRNA from 1 species
UCUCAGCCUAGUCAGUUACAAGGAGGAUUGUCACAGAGCAUGGCCUUAUGGAAGCAUUCUCGCUCACAUGCAUCCAGUUAUCAAACAAAAAUGGGUUUAGUCAGCUUUUCUCCUAAGAACAGAACAUCUUCUUGUCUGCAAAAUGCGACAUGCUUUGCCUGCUUGGAGCGACGGUCUCGACGUGGAUUAUCAGCGAGAGGUCAUAUCCUAAAUGCUAAGAUUGAUAUGACCUCACAUCACAAGUUUCCUAGUAUCAGCUGGAAGUCGAGAACACCGAGAAGUUUAGCACAAAAAAUAGGAGCUACAGGCGCUGGGCUUUCCUUGAGUUUCGCAGUUUCUGGGAUAGCAAAUUCUGAGGGUCCGGUGGAUGAUGGCAUCGAUACCACCCACACUUCCGAAUCAUCCACUACCUGUGCUCAUGGGAAGAAAGUUUAUACAGAGUAUUCUGUCACCGGCAUUCCUGGAGAUGGUAGAUGCUUGUUCCGUUCUGUGGCUCAUGGUGAGUGCAUUAGGUCAGGGAAACCCAUACCUAAUGAGAAUCUUCAGAGAAAGCUCGCUGAUGAUUUAAGAGCAUUGGUAGCUGAUGAGUUUAUCAAGAGACGAACAGAGACUGAAUGGUUUAUUGAGGGCGAUUUUGAUACAUACGUCUCUCAGAUUAGGAAGCCACAAGUGUGGGGAGGUGAGCCAGAAUUGCUAAUGGCUUCUCACAUUCUUCGGAUGCCGAUCACUGUUUAUAUGCGCGAAGAAGCAGCGGGUGGUUUGAUAGCGAUCGCGGAGUAUGGCCAGGAGUACGGCAAAGAAGACCCGAUCCGAGUCCUCUAUCAUGGCUGUGGCCAUUAUGAAGCGCUGCAUAUAUCUGAAACCAGAUAG